rnacentral:tRNA from 1 species
UCCUAGCUAGCUCAGUUGGAAAGAGCAUGUGACUUCUGAUCUUGGAGUUGUGAGUUUGAGCCCCAUGUUGGGUG